rnacentral:rRNA from 1 species
UUCGGGUCGCCGGCGAGUGGCAAACGGGUGAGUAACGCGUGGAUACCUGUCCUGUGGUGGGGAAUAACGUUUAGAAAUGAACGCUAAUACCGCAUAAGCCCUGCGGGGGAAAGAUUUAUCGCCAUAGGAGGGGUCCGCGUCGGAUUAGCUAGUUGGUGGGGUAACGGCCUACCAAGGCGACGAUCCGUAGCUGGUCUGAGAGGAUGAUCAGCCACACUGGGACUGAGACACGGCCCAGACUCCUACGGGAGGCAGCAGUGGGGAAUAUUGCGCAAUGGAGGAAACUCUGACGCAGCGACGCCGCGUGGGUGAAGAAGGCCUUAGGGUUGUAAAGCCCUUUCAGUGGGAAAGAUGAUGACGGUACCCACAGAAGAAGCCCCGGCUAACUCCGUGCCAGCAGCCGCGGCAAUACGGAGGGGGCCAGCGUUGUUCGGAAUUACUGGGCGUAAAGGGCGCGUAGGCGGUUGAUCAAG